rnacentral:misc_RNA from 1 species
AACGCACAUUGCGCCCCUUGGUAUUCCGAGGGGCAUGCCUGUUCGAGCGUCAUUACACCACUCAAGCCUGGCUUGGUAUUGGGCGCCGCGCCCGUUCGCGCGCCUCAAUGUCUCCGGCUGAGUCGUCCGUCUCUAAGCGUUGUGGCAUUUUGUUUCCGCUUGAGGGUACGGGGGGCUCGCGCCGUUAAACAUUUUAUCUAAGGUUGACCUCGGAUCAGGUAGGGAUACCCGCUGAACUUAA